rnacentral:rRNA from 1 species
GACAGAGGGUGCAAACGUUGUUCGGAAUUACUGGGCGUAAAGCGCGUGUAGGCGGCCAUCUAAGUCGGGCGUGAAAUCCCACGGCUCAACCGUGGAAGUGCACUCGAAACUGGAUGGCUAGAGUCCUGGAGAGGAAGGUGGAAUGCUUGGUGUAGAGGUGAAAUUCGUAGAUAUCAAGCGGAACACCGGUGGCGAAGGCGGCCUUCUGGACAGUGACUGACGCUGAGGUGCGAAAGCGUGGGGAGCAAACAGG